GAUGAACGCUGGCGGCGUGCUUAACACAUGCAAGUCGAACGGAAAGGCCCAAGCUUGCUUGGGUGCUCGAGUGGCGAACGGGUGAGUAACACGUGGGUGAUCUGCCCUGCACUUUGGGAUAAUCCUGGGAAACUGGGUCUAAUACCGGAUAGGACCAUCGUUUAGUGUCGGUGGUGGAAAGUUUUUCGGUGUGGGAUGAGCUCGCGGCCUAUCAGCUUGUUGGUGGGGUAAUGGCCUACCAAGGCGUCGACGGGUAGCCGGCCUGAGAGGGUGUACGGCCACAUUGGGACUGAGAUACGGCCCAGACUCCUACGGGAGGCAGCAGUGGGGAAUAUUGCACAAUGGGCGCAAGCCUGAUGCAGCGACGCCGCGUGGGGGAUGACGGCCUUCGGGUUGUAAACUCCUUUCGCCAAGGACGAAGCGUUUUGUGACGGUACUUGGAGAAGAAGCACCGGCUAACUACGUG
rnacentral:rRNA from 1 species